UACGAAGGGGGCUAGCGUUGUUCGGAAUCACUGGGCGUAAAGGGCGCGUAGGCGGCUUUAUAAGUCGGGGGUGAAAGCCUGUGGCUCAACCACAGAAUUGCCUUCGAUACUGGAUGGCUUGAGUUCGGUAGAGGUUGGUGGAACUGCGAGUGUAGAGGUGAAAUUCGUAGAUAUUCGCAAGAACACCGGUGGCGAAGGCGGCCAACUGGACCGACACUGACGCUGAGGCGCGAAAGCGUGGGGAGCAAACAGG
rnacentral:rRNA from 1 species